rnacentral:rRNA from 1 species
UUAAGUUAAUAAGGGCGCACGGUGGAUGCCUUGGCACUAGAAGCCGAUGAAGGACGUGACUAACGACGAAAUGCUUUGGGGAGCUGUAAGUGAGCAAUGAUCCAGAGAUGUCCGAAUGGGGGAACCCGGCAGGUAAUGCCUGUCACUCAUUACUGUUAAGGUAAUGUAGAGGAAGACGCAGUGAACUGAAACAUCUAAGUAGCUGUAGGAAGAGAAAGCAAAAGCGAUUGCCUUAGUAGCGGCGAGCGAAACGGCAAGAGGGCAAACCGAAGAGUUUACUCUUCGGGGUUGUAGGACUGCAACGUGGACUUAAAGAUUAUAGAAGAACUACCUGGGAAGGUAGGCCAAAGAGAGUAAUAGCCUCGUAUUCGAAAUAGUCUUUAUACCUAGCAGUAUCCUGAGUACGGCGAGACACGAGAAAUCUCGUCGGAAUCUGGGAGGACCAUCUCCCAACCCUAAAUACUCUUUAGUGACCGAUAGUGAACCAGUACCGUGAGGGAAAGGUGAAAAGCACCCCGGGAGGGGAGUGAAAUAGAACCUGAAACCGUGUGCCUACAACAAGUUCGAGCCCGUUAAUGGGUGAGAGCGUGCCUUUUGUAGAAUGAACCGGCGAGUUACGAUAUGAUGCGAGGUUAAGUUGAAGAGACGGAGCCGUAGGGAAACCGAGUCUUAAUAGGGCGCAUUAGUAUCAUGUCGUAGACCCGAAACCAUGUGACCUACCCAUGAGCAGGUUGAAGGUGAGGUAAAACUCACUGGAGGACCGAACCAGGGCACGUUGAAAAGUGCUUGGAUGACUUGUGGGUAGCGGAGAAAUUCCAAACGAACUUGGAGAUAGCUGGUUCUCUCCGAAAUAGCUUUAGGGCUAGCGUCGAUGUUAAGUCUCUUGGAGGUAGAGCACUGUUUGGGUGAGGGGUCCAUCCCGGAUUACCAAUCUCAGAUAAACUCCGAAUGCCAAUGAGAUAUAAUCGGCAGUCAGACUGCGAGUGCUAAGAUCCGUAGUCGAAAGGGAAACAGCCCAGACCACCAGCUAAGGUCCCAAAAUAUAUGUUAAGUGGAAAAGGAUGUGGGGUUGCACAGACAACUAGGAUGUUAGCUUAGAAGCAGCUAUUCAUUCAAAGAGUGCGUAAUAGCUCACUAGUCGAGUGACCCUGCGCCGAAAAUGUACCGGGGCUAAAACAUAUUACCGAAGCUGUGGAUACCUUUAUAGGUAUGGUAGGAGAGCGUUCUAUGUGCGAAGAAGGUGUACCGUGAGGAGUGCUGGAGCGCAUAGAAGUGAGAAUGCCGGUAUGAGUAGCGAAAGACAGGUGAGAAUCCUGUCCACCGUAAGACUAAGGUUUCCAGGGGAAGGCUCGUCCGCCCUGGGUUAGUCGGGACCUAAGGAGAGACCGAAAGGUGUAUCCGAUGGACAACAGGUUGAUAUUCCUGUACUAGAGUAUAUAGUGAUGGAGGGACGCAGUAGGCUAACUAAACCAGACGAUUGGAAGUGUCUGGCCAAGCAGUGAGGUGUGAUAUGAGUCAAAUGCUUAUAUCUUUAACAUUGAGCUGUGAUGGGGAGCGAAGUUUAGUAGCGAAGUUAGUGAUGUCACACUGCCGAGAAAAGCUUCUAGCGUUAAUUAUACUCUACCCGUACCGCAAACCGACACAGGUAGUCGAGGCGAGUAGCCUCAGGUGAGCGAGAGAACUCUCGUUAAGGAACUCGGCAAAAUGGCCCCGUAACUUCGGGAGAAGGGGCGCUGACUGAUGGUCAGCCGCAGUGAAUAGGCCCAAGCAACUGUUUAUCAAAAACACAGCUCUCUGCUAAAUCGUAAGAUGAUGUAUAGGGGGUGACGCCUGCCCGGUGCUGGAAGGUUAAGAGGAGUGCUUAGCGUAAGCGAAGGCAUGAAUUGAAGCCCCAGUAAACGGCGGCCGUAACUAUAACGGUCCUAAGGUAGCGAAAUUCCUUGUCGGGUAAGUUCCGACCCGCACGAAAGGCGUAAUGAUUUGGGCACUGUCUCAACGAGAGACUCGGUGAAAUUUUAGUACCUGUGAAGAUGCAGGUUACCCGCGACAGGACGGAAAGACCCCAUGGAGCUUUACUGCAGUUUGAUAUUGAGUAUCUGUACCACAUGUACAGGAUAGGUAGGAGCCUAUGACCUCGGGACGCCAGUUUCGAGUGAGGCGUUGUUGGGAUACUACCCUUGUGUUAUGGCUACUCUAACCCAGAUAGGUUAUCCCUAUCGGGGACAGUGUCUGACGGGCAGUUUGACUGGGGCGGUCGCCUCCUAAAAGGUAACGGAGGCGCCCAAAGGUUCCCUCAGAAUGGUUGGAAAUCAUUCGCAGAGUGUAAAGGUAUAAGGGAGCUUGACUGCGAGAGCUACAACUCGAGCAGGGACGAAAGUCGGGCUUAGUGAUCCGGUGGUUCCGUAUGGAAGGGCCAUCGCUCAACGGAUAAAAGCUACCCUGGGGAUAACAGGCUUAUCUCCCCCAAGAGUUCACAUCGACGGGGAGGUUUGGCACCUCGAUGUCGGCUCGUCGCAUCCUGGGGCUGUAGUCGGUCCCAAGGGUUGGGCUGUUCGCCCAUUAAAGCGGCACGCGAGCUGGGUUCAGAACGUCGUGAGACAGUUCGGUCCCUAUCCGUCGCGGGCGUAGGAAAUUUGAGAGGAUCUGCUCCUAGUACGAGAGGACCAGAGUGGACUUACCGCUGGUGUACCAGUUGUUCUGCCAAGAGCAUCGCUGGGUAGCUAUGUAGGGAAGGGAUAAACGCUGAAAGCAUCUAAGUGUGAAGCCCACCUCAAGAUGAGAUUUCCCAUGAUUUUAUAUCAGUAAGAGCCCUGAGAGAUGAUCAGGUUGAUAGGUUAGAAGUGGAAGUGUGGUGACACAUGUAGCGGACUAAUACUAAUAGCUCGAGGACUUAUCCAA